rnacentral:misc_RNA from 1 species
GAAAUGCGAUACUUGGUGUGAAUUGCAGAAUCCCGUGAACCAUCGAGUCUUUGAACGCACCUUGCGCUCCUUGGUAUUCCGAGGAGCAUGCCUGUUUGAGUGUCAUGAAACUCUCAAACCCAAGUUUUGGAUUUCGAUCCAUGCUUGAGUUUGGAUUUGGAUGUUUGCCGGUGAUAAGCCGACUCAUCUUAAAAGUAUUAGCUAGAUCUGUCUCUAUGACUGGUUUGACUUGGCAUAAUAAGUAUUUUGCUGAGGACAUCUUCGGAUGGCCAGGACCUAGACUAUUGUCUGCUAACUAAACCAUCACUUUAAGUGCAUCUUUGGAUGUUACUCAUUGUGUAACUUUGACAUCUGGCCUCAAAUCAGGUAGGACUACCCGCUGAACUUAA